rnacentral:lncRNA from 1 species
CAUAUAUGAUCUCAUUAAAUGAGAGAGGAGAUUUUACAGGAAGACCAAUCAGAUCAUAACCAGUCAGUUCAACCAAGCAAUUAGGUUUUUCAGGGACGCGGGAGAGCUUCUGAUAAGCAAGGUUGAGUGCUGCUCUCUCAGUCAGAAUAAAUAUCUCAGUUUCAUUGAUUUCAAAGGCUCCGUAUUUCCCAUUAGGCAAAACCCAGCAGUUUGUUUGCCCAUACAUGGUCUCAGGCCUCAAUGUUGCAGCAGCCAAAAACACUUUUUUCCCUUCCAAAACACGCAUUUUAGCUGGAAAAGGUGGCACCACUUCCAUUUUAAUAAUAGUAUACUCUUGAGGCUGAACUCCUUCACCAGUUGCCCUAUCAUGAUCAGCACAUGGCUGACUAUCCAAUGGAGAAUAUAUAGUAUACCUCAUAUCUUUAACAAUCUUACCCAUCGAUUUCAACUUCCUCAUCUGCCACUUAACAAACGAAUCAAAAAACGGAUUCAUAUCUGUGGUCACAAAUGACCUUCUCCAAUCACAACCUAAUCCAAAAGCCUUGAGGUCUUGAACAGCCAAUGGCGGAAAGAACUUCAACCAUUCAUACGGGUUCUGAAACUUUGAUAUCUCACUAUCUGAAAGUCCAAAACUCCUCAUAAUUUCCCACUGAAACAUCUGUCCACUAGAUUUCGAUGCCGCCUUAGACUUUUUACCUUUAAACUUAUCAGGCGCCACAUUGGCAUCUUCAUUUGGGUCAGAUUCUUCUGUUGGGUUAGGUUCCUCAUCCACUACCUCAUGAGGAAAAAUGGGUGGAUCACCAAAUUGUUUGAUUUCCCUAGCAAGUUUAUCAGCUGAAGCCUUGAUUGGCAUACCGGUACAGUGAAAAGCAAAAGGCAAUAACACAUUGGCACCUCUUAAUCUAUGAUAAGCAGCAGCAAACUCGAGUUUCGAAAGCGAAAAGGCAUGGCCCAGAUGUAAAAAACCAUUCAUAUAAGGAAAAGGAAAGUUCCCAAAGAAUUUUUCACCUGGUUGAGGUGGUUUUUCAUUAGGUUCAGCUUUAAACACAUCUUUUUCUUCCCACCAAACUCUAACCUUUGACUCGAUUUCGAGGAGUUUGUCUCUCCUGGCAUAGCUCUUGCCUCCCUCUGUUGCCAUCUCGUGAAACCAAUGGAAACUGUUCAAAACCAAAACAAAAUAAAAUUCAUGAAAAUGAAACAGAAAGAAAACCAAAAAAAAAAAAAAAUGGAAGAAUCUUUGGAAAGGAAAGUGCCUGAGUUUAUUGAGGAAGAUGGUGUUGUGCCUACGAAGAAUCUUUGCUGAGUUGCAACGGAUAUAGAGCAAAUGAGUGGAGAUGAAGGAGGAUAAAGAGAAAAGGGGGAGACUGCGUUGAGUUUCAGUUCCAGUUACAGGGCUAGAUUCUCAUUGUUUGUUUUUACAGGUUUUUAGGGUUUUAAUGAUUAUUAAUUUUAAAUUAAAAAGGCCUGCCCCAACUUUUUAACAGAUCAAGAAACAGACCCAAUGUAGGAAAUAACCCAAUUUCAACAACUUUUAAUCAGACUGAGAAAGAGAAGCCCAACUAGGGGGGCAACUAACUGAACUGGACCAAUCCCAAUCUUAUGCUUAAGCCGAAACCAAAUUCGUGCCAUUUUUCUAUAUUAAAAUGCAGGAGGGGCAAUUUUAAAAAUGAGUAAAACUUUUUAGGUUGUAAAAUUGACAAAAUUUUUAUAUAAGUAUGAUCAAAUUGUCAAAUAUAUUUUGUAUUUGAUAUGUUCACACUGAUUGUAAUAAUAAUUUUCAUAUUUUACUUGACAUGAAAUAAAUAUAAUAUAAAUAUAUAAAUUAUUAUGUCUAGAUUUAGUCUGUUGCCUAAAUAAAAAAAUCUAAUUGUUGUAUAAAGAUAGUUUUUCAACCUUUAUGCUUAUUGCUUUGGAUCAUCUGAAAUUCUCGUAGCCAUAAUUAACCAAAAUUCUGCCAAAUGCUAUGGCCCCAAAAUUUGUUUCUCAUCUCAUUGAAAUAGAUAGUUGCCGACUAAGGGAUCACUUUGUUGGCUUCCAUUUGUUAUCCUGGUCAGUCUGCACUUUUGAGCAAUUUCAUUCGUUCAAAACUAAGCAGGAAUCUGCUAUGCAAAAGUACAAAUCUGGUAUUACAACCAGACAAAACAAGAUUACAUAGGAAAAAACUAAUGCACAAAGAUUCUCCUUGAUUCAGCUUCCAACUUUGGCCGCAGAUGAAUUUAUAGGUUUGUUUUUGUAGUCAUGGACAGACAAUUAAUUCUUGUCCGUCAUUUUUAUUUUCUUGUUUUGGUGAAUACUAAAUAUAACUAUUAUUAUUUGUCCUUCGAAAAACAAGGUCAUUGUACCAUAAUAUUAAGUGUAGCCAAUUGGCAAAGCUAGAAACAAAUACUAAGUAAUUUCAGUAUCUGUUCUCAAGAAGGAAGCUGAUAUCCCUUGAUUGCAGGACGGCGGAUUCUUUGGUGGUAAGGAUAGAGUUGACUCCUGAAAAUUUUCCUGGGAAAAUUUACUUCAGUUUAUAGAAGAAAAUGGCAAAGCCGGCAAUGAGAUUCCAAUAAUCAUGGACAAUUGGCAAAGCCGGCAUGUAUAUGUGAUGGGGACUUUAGCUAUGGAAACCUACUGCACAUUUGAUGUGAAGGUAAAUCAAUACUACUUUGAAAGCUAAAAAUAGUAACUGAAUAAAAGAGAUUUAAAGCAAGAAUAUUUAACAAUAUAUUUGAUUGUUGUUUUUGUGCCAAAAGAGUUUAAAAAAAAAAUGUGUCAAUAGGGAAAGCGAAACUGAUAGCAAAUCACUUUGUAAUAGCAAAGCCAAGUAAGGGCUCAUUUCUUGCACUUGCAGAGGAAAAUUAGACAAAAAUCAUGUUCUUCCAUCACCCCUUUUCACUGGAAUAGAAAAAAAUUGAAGUAUUACAACUGGUUUUCGUUGAUUUCAAAGGUAGUAGGCUGGCUCACAAUUUACCUUGGAUGAACAAUGAGUAAGGUUGGUUUAUAGAAUUCUCUCUAAUGUACAUUUUUUAAUUCCUUAGUGACAAAGACAAUGGGGAAAUUAAAGUCUUUGGAUAGACAUUUCAAAUGCAAAAUUCCAAAUGGGAAGAAAACGAAGCAAUAGUACUAUAAAAGUUGUUUGGGACAGCAAUUAGUGCAUUGAAUCAUUUAAAGCACUUCUGUCCCUUUUUUUCAAUGGUCCAAAGUCUCAACCACAAAGCAUAAAGAAGAAGGCAACCGAAAUGAGAAAUUGUGAAGGAAAAAGUUCAAUGUUCCAAGUCUUCUUUCCUUCCAUCUUAAAAUUUGUCAUCAUAGCCUGCCUAACAUUAAUUUUUCCAGCUCCAACCUUAUCCUUGCAGUCUGCAAUCAAUGUUUGGCCUAAACCGAUACUACUUUUAUGGCCAAAGCCACUUGCCACAUUCCUCUCUCCAAACUUCACCAUCAGUUCCCCCAACCACCAAUACCUCAUCCCGGCCAUCAACCGCUACCUCCGCCUUAUCCAGACAGAGCACCACAAUCCCCUUGUCACCCCUUCUGUCAACAUUUCCACCUCAUCCCCUCCUUUGCAAACUCUUACCAUCAAUAUAAUUGAUCUCACCGCCCCCCUCCAACAUGGGGUCAAUGAAACCUACGCCCUCUCCAUUUCUGAAGUAGGUGCCACCGCCUAUUUGACAGCUGCAACUACAUGGGGUGCAAUGAGGGGCCUAGAGACGUUUUCCCAGCUGGUGUGGGGUGAUCCCUCAGCUGUUCCGGUAGGCUUGUACGUCUGGGAUGCUCCCUUGUUUGCUCACAGGGGAGUCAUGUUGGAUACAUCAAGGAAUUAUUAUGGGGUGGAUGACAUAUUGAGGACUAUUGAAGCAAUGAGUGCUAACAAGCUUAAUGUGUUCCACUGGCAUAUUACUGAUUCACAUUCUUUUCCUCUAAUGGUGCCUUCGGAGCCUGAGCUUGGUGCCAAGGGAUCUUAUGGACCUGACAUGAUAUACUUUCCCUCAGAUGUGGCUAAGAUUGUUCAGUUUGGCUUGGAACAUGGGGUCAGAGUCCUACCAGAAAUCGAUUCACCAGGUGAGCUUGUCAUAACAGUAACUUUUUCCUCUAAAAAAGCGUGGUAUGACUGUUCAUUUUUAUAUUAACUGAUAAUAAUAGUUUCAUGCUUUUAUAUAUCAGUUUAUAAAUUGACAUAUGUAAAAUUUUUGUUGUAUUUUAUGAUUUUAGAGUUGAGUGAAGUCCAAUUCUACAAAACAAAGCACUCUCUUUGCACACUGCACACAACAUGAAAUGAGAUUAUCAAAAUAUUUUUCAAUUGCAAUUGCAGGCCAUACGGGAUCAUGGGCAGAAGCCUACCCGGAGAUAGUGGCGUGUGCAAACAUGUUCUGGUGGCCAGCUGGAAGUCAAGGGGAUGACAGGCUUGCAUCUGAACCAGGAACUGGCCAUCUAAACCCCUUGAACCCCAAAACCUACCAAGUUCUCAAGAACGUAAUUCGUGAUGUAGCCAUGCUAUUCCCUGAACCAUUCUACCAUGGAGGAGCUGAUGAGAUAAUUCCUGGAUGUUGGAAAGCUGAUCCAACCAUUCAAACUUUCCUUUUUGACGGUGGAACUCUUAGCCAGCUCCUGGAAACCUUUGUGAACUCCACUUUGCCUUACAUUCUAUCCCUUAAUCGUACUGUAGUCUAUUGGGAGGAUGUUUUAUUAGAUGAAAAUAUCAAAAUAGACCCCUCAUUUCUUCCAAGGGAACAUACCAUUUUACAAACAUGGAACAAUGGCUCAAACAACACCAAAAAGAUCGUUGAAGCGGGAUAUCGGGCAAUUGUAUCAUCUUCAGAAUUCUAUUAUCUGGAUUGUGGCCAUGGGAAUUUUCUUGGCAAUGAUAGCCAAUAUGAUCAGCAAACAACGGCUAACUCUGGAAAUGGAGGGUCUUGGUGUGGACCAUUUAAAACGUGGCAAACUAUUUAUAACUAUGACAUAACUUAUGGUUUGAGUGAAGACGACGCCAAAUUAGUGCUAGGUGGAGAGGUGGCAUUGUGGUCAGAACAAGCUGAUCCUACAGUUGUGGAUGCGAGGAUUUGGCCAAGAACUUCAGCAAUGGCAGAGACAUUAUGGUCAGGAAACCGGGAUGAGACAGGGAAAAAGAGGUAUGCUGAGGCAACUGAUAGGUUGAAUGAAUGGAGGUAUAGAAUGGUAAGUAGAGGGAUCAAGGCUGAGCCAAUUCAGCCACUGUGGUGUGUUAAGAAUCCGGGAAUGUGCAACACGGUCAAUCCCUUUUGAUUUCAUAGAUGUUUAAUUGUUUUAACACAGACUUCAGAGACCAGUGAAAAAAGAAAUUGAUUCUGUAAUUCUCUUUCAUUUUCAACUUGUAUUUGAUGUUUCAAUUGAUUAGCAAAAGAAUUGUCCUAUAAAUUGCAUAUGUGCUAAAUUUCUUGUUAGUUCUAGCAAUAAGUAGUAAAAGGAUAAAAACAAACAUCUGUUUUUUAGGAAGAAAUCAUGCAAGAGAGUGAAACCCAAAGGCAGGAACUUUUGAGAGAAAUUAUGCAAGUGGAAGAUAGAUGAGGGCAUGACUUACUUGAAAAAAAAGCAAUCAAAGGGAUAAAUACCCAUGAAAUUUGAAAGGAUAAUAAAAUUGAGACCCACACCAAUGAAAUGACAAGUUACAGGGGAAAUAAUAAAAAAAAAAAACCAAAACAUUAAUUAAAUACUGUUGAAAGAGACUAAAAUCCGCUAAUAGUAUAUUAUAUAAAAGAGAUUAAAAAAAAUUAAGAGAAAUUCUUUCAUUAACAAUUAGUAGUGUUUGAUAUUAAGUGAUCACUUCAAAAAUUAUGAUAAUUUAUAUACAAUGAUUAGAUUAUCAUGUUUGAUAAAUACUUAAUGAUCCUAUGUGAUUGUGAUUUUGAAGGAUAAUCUAAUUCUCAUUUGAAAUGAUGAAAAGCUUUUAUCAUCCUAAUAUAUAAAAUUAGUAAUAAUCAAUAUUACUUAUUUAAUAUGUGAAUUAAAAUUUUGAUUUUUCUUAAAAUUAUAAUUAUUUUAUAUUAUAAAUUUUUAUAUUUUAAACUAAUAUUCAUUAUAACAAAUUAAAAAAUAGUUUGAGUAUUUUUUACUUUUUUAUUGUUUUAUAUAUAAUAAAAUAUCUUUUUUUAUUAUAAUUUUAAUAGAUUAAUUUUAUUUUUUUAAUUCAAUUUUUUAACAUAAUUUAUAUUAUAAAAAUUAGUUUAUUUAAUAAAUAAAUAUAUUUAAUAAUUUAAUUAUAGUAUAAAAUAAAUAAAAUAUUGCCAUUUUUUAUGAAUUAUUAUCUUUAAAUAAUAUUUAAAUCAUUAAUUUGUAAUUAUUACAAUAAAAUUGUUAUUUUUGUAUUUUUAAAUAAAUAAUAUUUUAUUUUUAAUAAUUCAAAUAUAAUGAUUUUUUAUUCGUAUGAAUUAAUUAUUGUUAACAAAAAAAUGAUUUUAAAUCACGAAUAAUAAAACUCAUAGUUAUUAAUUUCAUUUUGAUACAGAUCAGUAUGCGAUAACUAUAUCAAAAUACAAUACACCAAGAGAUGAUUUUUUGUACUGAAUUUGUUACAAGAUAAAACUAAUUGUUUUUGUUAGUUUCAAUAAGUUUUAAUGAAUUUUGGUGGAAUAGCUUAUUUUGAUUAGUUAGUAACUGUAAAAUAUAUUUUAUAAUUUUUAACUUAACCUUUAUAGAUUAAUUAUUUUAACCUAAUAAAAACAAAAUUAAUUGACAAAAUAAUCUUUAAAGGUUUAGUUUCUUUAUUUUUUAUUUUAAUUUUUUUUAUACUUUAUCUUUUCAAAUCAAAGUUUAUAAUUUUAUAAUUUAUUUUUUCAAAUUAAAAUUUAUUAAUAUUUCAAUUUUUUUAAGAAAGUAAUUAUGCUCAUUUUAUAAAGUUUAACAAUCAUAAAGCAUUGGUUAACUUUUUUAUUCUCUUUGUUUUUAUCUUAAUAUUUACAUAAAAAAUAUUUAUUUAAAUAACAUAUGAUCGGAUUAAGUGUUUGAAAAUAUUAUGAAAAAUUUAUAAUAUUGUUUCUGAUACUUUUAAACUUAUUUAUUUGAUUUUUGAAAAUAUUGCAUAUUUAGUUUGUAAAUUAUUAAUAGUAUUAUAAUGUACAAGUUUAUGUAUGUUUAUAAAUAUAUUUGUACUAAAACAAAAAAUCCAAAAUAAUAUAUCGAAACAAUUGGUACCGAUAUAUAUUAUUUAAAAAAAAUUAAAAUAUUAUCCAAUAUGAUAUUAAUAACUUUAACAAAAUCACCUUAAUAAUAAAAUCAUUUAGAUGAUUAUAUUUUCAUGAUAAUAUUAAAAAUAACAUCUAAUGAUACCCUUAUUAUAAUUUUUUAAACUUCUUAGGACAAAUUAAUAAGAUAAUACAUAUGUAUUGAAAAUAAAAAAUAUAAUUAGAAAUAAAAAUAUAUUAAUCUUUUAAUUUCGUGGGUGAAAUUAAAAAAUUACACAAAUAAUACAGAAAAACGAACUCAAAAAUUAAAUGAAAGUAAAACAUUUGACACAGGAUUCUGUGGGCUAUAUAAGCCUUUAGAUUUUUUUUUCCAGAAUUCACGGUGGGCUAAAACCCAAUAUGAUCCAAAAUUCAGGUUCUUGGAUCCAUAGUUUAAGUAGCCUAAGAACCCAAACUUAGUCCACGAAAAUCUGUUAACUUUUUCAUUUUCCCAAACUACUUUUCAAACAAUAUUUUUUUAAUUUCUUUCACCAGCAAGUCAGCCACCUGAUUUCGUGAUUCGAUCAACAAACCCGAACCUUUCGAAAUUACAAAACCAAAUCCUGAGAAUCUCAAUUUCCCAUCUCUGAUUCUUUUUUUUUCUAACUUGUUUUCUUCCCUAUUUUCUUUAUGAAAUUAAACUACUAAAAGAUGCAGUCUCUUGAAAGCAUCACAGAUUCCUCAUUUCCUCAAAACCCUAACAAUUCUUCUUCUUCUUCUGUUAAUGGGUUGUAUGGAUGGCUCUUUGAAUGUCAUGGAAUUUGGCAUAACUUAGCUCUUGUUAUUCCUUCUCUUCUAUUUGUUCUUUUCUUAGGUUUUCAAGCCAAAAGAAGCUUCCAAAAGCUCUCUCAUGGCAGGUCUUAUAUCAUGAUUUCUUAUUACGGUUGCCUUUGGCUUGUUAGCUUGCUCAAUCUUGCUUGGUGUUCUCUUCAGGUUUGAGGGUUUUCUUUUUUCUCUAAGUCGAUUUUAAACAUUUGGGUUGUUCUUGAAUUAGCUUGUUGAUUUCUUAAAGGAUGAAAUUAAAUUGCUUUUUGUUGUUUCUAGGAAAUGAAUGCACUUUUUAUUUUUAAUUCUUCACAAGUUUGUUUAGUUUAUAUCCAAAAUACUCUUUUUUUUUCUUUGCAUCUAUGGCAUACGCAACAACUAAAUGGUACCUAAAUUAGUGGAAUGUAAUUUGGGUGUCUUGGGUUCAUUAGAAAUGGCUUGAAAGUUACUAUACUUGAUGAUUUUUCGCGUUAUGGUAAAUUACAAAUUGGAUUAUUGGACAGUUUUCAAGUUUUAGUUUUUAGGUUAGGCUUCUUUGAUGUCGUAUGUAAGAACAAUGCUCAGAAGCCAAUAAUGAUAAUAUAUAGAUCAGUGAAAUGAAAAUAUGUAUAGCAAAAGCCUUCUUUGUCGAGCUUAGAUGUUCAAUAGAUGCGUCUAGGCACUAAGCUUUUGGUAUGGCAUGAGUUUGCGACUAACUCAUUCAUUAUCAUGAAUGGUGUAUAAUAUCAUGAUUGUUCCUUUUUCAUAGUGUAUGUUUCCGUUUCGUAAGCAUGAGUAAAUUUUUUUUUUCUUUUACUUUUUUUUUUCCAUAUGAAUUGUAUAUUGGUGAUCCUUAACAGAUACUGUUUUCUUCUUAAUUUGGCUUCUUUGAAAAUGAGUUGUGUUAAGCAGCUUGGCUGCUUAUCGUUUGAUAGUUUGAAGAGUUAGGGUACUAAACUAUAUGCUUUGAGAGAACUCAUAUCCGCUAGGAUUUAUGAAACAUGACCUGCAUUGACCCUUGAAGAUUCUUAUUCUAGUUGCGAGUAAGUUAACUUUUUCCACUUCAUAGCUGGAUGGCUAAGUUUACACUAUUUACUGAUUGAUGCAGGCCUGGGAAUGCAGUCCUGGAAAGGAAAUGACAUGGAAUAUCUUAUCGUUGUUUACAACUUCUGGGAUGCUGUUCCUGGAAGUUAGCUUGGUGGCAUUUUUACUUCAAGGAAAUUAUGCUAGUGGGUUGGAGGCUUUGACUCGAACAUUUGUUGUUUCGGGGCUUAUUGUUGGUUUGGACUUACUUCUGAAGGUACUUCUUUUAUUCUUGAAUAUUUUAACCUUCUUUGAAGUUCCAUAUCUGUUGCUGGUGAAUCAGACGGUGGUGGAAAAACAAAACAGUUUCUUCCUUACUGUACUUUACUAAAUAGCAGAGUCACCAUUCCUGUGGCCUAUAUUUAGAUUGUUGACCUACUUUAACUUCUUAAGCAAUCUAGAAUGCUAAGUAUGAUUGUUUAUACGUAUUUAAGUUGUUUUAUUUUCUAAUAUGGAAAGACACACAAUGUCAUUCCUUUUUGUGUUUUUCCCCUUUUGAAUUCUUUAUAAUAUUUUUGCAUCAAUGCUUAAUAUGUUGUGACAUUAAUAUUUCAAUGUUCUUUUCCCUCGUUUAGGCUAUUUACCUAUUUGGAUUUGGUGUCCCUAUGUUCACUGACAACACCGAACAUACACAUCAAGUGAAAUGGGGCUUGUGGGUUGUUCACAGGCUAGUGCUGACUGCUAUUUAUGGCUUCAUACUGUUUAUGUACCACUCUAAGUGGAGAGAAAGGUUACCUGGUAUGUUCAUCUAAGUCACAUACAUUUGUGCAGGUUAUUUAACAGUAGUCGCUUAGUUGUGUCACUUGGAAUCUUCUCUCUUGUUCUGCAGCAAGACCUGCAUUCUACAAAUAUGUUGCAAUCAUGUUCAUCUUGAAUGCACUAGCACUGAUUGCUUGUGGACUAACUGGAAAUGGUGCUAGUUUUGGGUUUUGGUAAAUACAAGCUUGAUGCCCUUUUUAAAUUGAAGAAUUCUGUUUGUUAUUUAUAUUAGUAUAUUAUGUUCUUUUCCAAGGGUUUUUUUUAAAAGAAUAAGAUUGACAGGUUGUACAGUGCCACAAUUGUUUGCUACCACGCCUUGUACCUUCCUCUUCUGUAUAUAACUUUUCUGGCAGAUUUUUUCCAGGUAAACAUUUAUUUCGGAUUCAUUGCAAAAAUUUUAUCUUGUUAUUGAUUCUUUAGCACCUUAUAAUAUGUUAGUACGGUAAAAGUAUCUCCAAUGCCUGCAGGAGGAAGACUUGCACUUAGAGAAUGUGUACUAUUCAGAGAUGAAAGAUGCUGGUUUCUUUGAUGCUGACUGGGAGUGAGCACUGUAUCAACUUUGAAUUACUAGAUUCCCUUUUCGUUAGGAUCUGUAAAUGAAAUUAAAUGCAAUUCAGAUUGUAAAAUGUUUGAUGAAAGGGAUGGUUGAUCGAUGCAUGCAUGUAGUAUUUAUAGAUACUGCUCUGGUAAUGGCGACGGUAAUCCUGUAGCUCGUAUAUUUGUAAUAAUCUCCUGUUUUAUAAAUUUAAGUUGAUUGCAAAUAAAACUUGUUCAAUCUUCUUGUAGCAAAAAAACUAGAAGCAUUGUGUACGUUCUUGUAGAAUUUCUCUUUUAGUUUUUGUGUUAUUGUAAUAAAAUUCCAAUUAACAGCUUCAUGUUGAUGGUGUUUAUGCAUACUAAUAGAUUGGUUAUCCUUCACGGUUUCCCUUUGCAUUAUUACCGCAGGUUUGUUGAUAUUUACUCUUUGCCUCAGCUUAAUGGGGCUGAGGCAUCAAAUAUCCGAAACAUUAGCCGUAUCUUUAUUUCUCCAGGCUUCAUUGUGUCGGUCUCUUUAAGAGUGUAAAUGAUAUAUUAGUAUUUAUAAAUUAUUCGAAUUUAAUAUAAAUAAAAUUUUAAUUUGGUUCAAUUAUUAUCGAGUUUGAGUUCGAGUUCGAGUAGCUCGAUUUAUCGAUCGAGUUGAUCUUAAGUAUUUUUAUAUUCGACUCGAGUAGUUCACAAGUUUAAUUGAAUUUUUAUAUUUUAAUAUAUUUUAAUUAUUUUAAUUGAUAAAAUAUUUUAAACUCAAGUAUAAAUAAUUAAGUUUUUAUCGAAUAUAAGAAUUGAGUUUAUUUUUAUAUAUUAAUUAAGAUUAAUCAAAUGAAUUUUAAUAGUUAAAUUUUUAUUUCGAAUCAAACUUAAAUUAAAAAAAAAAAAAUUCGAUCGAGUUUAAAACUUUAAAUUUGAAAUUAAAAUUAAUUUUAAAUUUAAUGUUAUAUUUAUUCAAACUUUAUUGAUUAUACUCUUAAUUUUAUCUAUGUUAGUGAAGCUACGGGACAUCUUUUUCUAAGGCCUCAGUUGGAUUUAACUGAAGCUUCAGUGUGUUGCGUUUUCUACACUUUUUUCCUUCAAUCUCACCGUGAUUCAUAUUUGGAUAACAUCAAUGAUGGUGAGUUUACUAGCGUGAAUCGCACUAAAACAUCAGUUGAAGACAGGACUUUUGGGGUUCAAUGCCAAUAAAUCUUUUUUAUUCACAUUAUUUUUUUUAUAUUCUUAUCAUGCCCUUAAAUGAGUUUUUAUUUAAAAAAACCUAAAAUAUGAUUUUUUUUAACUUAUUUCUCUCUCUUUCUGUUUCUGUCACCAUCUUAAAUUUUUAACCCUAAAUUGCCUCCUCCUUCGUAUUAUCGCCCCUUGCUACUGUCACUUGUUCCAUUUCCCCUUGCUAUUGUCACUUGUUCCAUGUUAAGGACAUUAGAUAAAAAUAUUAUUUGAUAUUAAAAAAUUUAAAAUUUUGUAAUUAUUUAUUAAUUUAAAAAUAUUAAAAAUAUAUAAAUUUAUUAUACAUAAAUUUUAAUUUAAUGUUAAUGUAAUGUUUUUAAUGAUAAUUUUUUAUUUUUACUAUAUUUUAUUUCACCAUUACUAUUAAUUUUACAUUUAAAGAAGGUGAUAAGCUAAUGAGAUACAAAACUCGAUUGGUGGUAAAAGGUUUUUGUCAAAAAUUUGACAUUGAUUUUAAUGAGAUCUUCUCUCCAGUUGUAAAAGAUGAGUUCUAUUCAAGUAGUACUAGGAUUAGUAGCUAGUUUGAAUCUUGAGCUUAAACAACUUGAUGUCAAGACUGCAUUCUUGCAUAGUGACUUGCAAGAGAAUAUUUAUAUGGAUUAGUAAAUUUUGAUAAAAAAAAGUACUUAGUUUUGUAAAAUGAGAAAAAAAAAUGUAUACUUGAAUAAGCCCUGAUAGUAUAAAAAUUUGAUUUUUAUGUAGAAAGCUAUAAAAAAAAGUAACGAAUUUUAUGAGAAUGUCAAAAAAAGAUGGUAAUUCAUAUUAUCUUAAUAUGUGAUGAUAUGUUGAUUGCGGACAAAUUAAUGUUAUAUGGUUCAUAAGUGGAAAACAAUUAUCUAAGUCUUUAACAUGAAAGAUUUAAGUAACAAGGCAAAUUCUUGGAUGAAUAUUAUCAGAUAAAGAGCUAAAAAUUUGUUGCCAAAAAAAAUGUCAAAUGAUUUUGUAUAAUUCAAAACUAUAACAUGCUAAUAUUAGUAGUCCAUUUUCAAAAAUUUAAUGUUGAGUAAAAAAUCUUAUCUGAUGACUAAAGAAAAGUAAUUAGCUAUGUCUAGUAUUUCUUAUUCUUCUGUAGUCGAUUUCUUGAUGUAUCUUAUAGUUUGCACAUGACCUAACAUUGCUUAUGCAGUUGGUGUAAUGAGUAGAUUUCUUUCUAAUUUAGGGAAGGUUCACUGAGAAGUAGUGAAAUGAAUUUUUAGAUAUUUAAAGGGCACCUCAAAAAUAUGUUUGAGUUACGAAAUUUCACAACCAAUUCUAGAAGGGUUUACUAAUGCUAACUUAACAGAUGAUCUUGAUGGUAGAAAAUUUACUUUAGGGUAUUUGUUCACUUUUACAGAAAAAGCUAUGUCUUGAUAUUCUAAGUUGUAAAAGUGUGUUACCUUAUCAACUACAAAGGCUAAGUAUAUUACAAUAACCGAAGCAAGUAAAGAAAUGCUUUGGAUGAAACUUUUUUUUCUUGGAUUGAGGUUAAAUAAAAAAAAGUAUGUGAUAUUUUGUGAUAGUCAGAAUGCUUCAGAUUUAAGUAAGAAUGCUAUGUACCAUGCUAGAUCGAAGUGCAUUGAUUGUUAGAUGUCAUUGGUUACUUUUGAUAAUUGAAGAACAACAGAUGCUAUUGAGAAAAGUCAUAUUUAUGAGAAUGUGGUAGAUAUGUUGACUAAGAUACUUCCUAGAAAAAAGCUUGAGCUCUGCAGUAACUUGGCCAGAAUAGGUUUCUUGGGUAAGGUAAGUUCCAAAUGAAAUUGCCAUGGUAAUGAAUCUCCUUAUAUUGGGGUUAAAUAAAGAUAUUGUUAGGAAUAUGUGGGAUUCAACCCCAUGAUAUUGGUCUUAACCAUUCAAAGUUUUAGGCUACCCUAAGAGAGCCCUAGGUAAUAAAAGAAAAAAAAAGUUGUAUUUUUUGGUAAGAAACAGAGGGUUAAGUGUCAAAUACAAAAAUGAAAAGCCAAAAAAAUAAAGAGAAAAGAGAGAAAAGAGAGUUAGUUAAACAUAAUCAAUCUAUGGUUUGAUUGAGUUAAAACUUUGUCAACAUGUUUGCGAUUCAGAGUUUCACAUUCUAAACAGUAAAAAUCAGGUUUGAAGCUUUUUAGGAACAAAUUUAAGGAAUAUUUGUUGAGUCACCGAUUUGAUGAGAUUUCUUCAAUUAUCUUUCUAGUUAUUGACUAGCUCUAAUUUUAACUAGAAGAGAACUUUGUAUAUUCAUUAUUUAAUAGUAAAGAUUUUUCUAAUGGUUCGUGAAUUUUUUCCUUUAUACUGAAGGGUUUUUCACAUAAAUUUUAAUGUGCUUUAUUUUUCUUAUGUUGUUGAAUGUUAAUUAUUGUUUUAUAAUAUAUUACUUCUGCGUUGUUGUAUUUGUUGCUUUAGGUCUAACAAAUAAGACGUUUCGCCUUAGUUUGGGAAAGCUUAGAGACGUCUUAUAUGAUGCUAAAGAUGUGCUUGAUAAAUUCAGGUGUGAAGCGCUGCAAAAAGAGUUGAUCAAUCGUGGAAGCACCACCACCAAAUUGGUACAAUUCCCUGCCCUCUCUAUUCCAUUUGCAUUCCCUUUAAGGAGAAGUCAUAAAAUCAAAAGAAUCAAUGAAAAGCUAGAUACGAUUGCUAGUGAUUUCAAAAAAUUUAAUCUUGGACUUGAAGAGAAAGUUCAGAACCGACAUGUUAGUCUUAGAGAUGCCCACUCUUUCGUUAUACCCUCUAAUGUGAUGGGUCGAAAUCAAGCCAAAGAAAACAUCAUAGAUGUUUUAGUCAAGCCAACCAUUUUUUAAAAAAUACCCGUCAUCCCUAUAGUUGGAAUCGGAGGUUUAAGGAAAACCACACUUGCUCAACUUGUGUACAACGAUGAAACGAUCACUAAGGUCUUUCCCUUAAAAAUAUGGGUGUACGUGUCAAAUGAGUUUGAUCUUGCUAGGUUGCUCUGUGAUAUUAUUUACUCCAUUACGGAGGAAAGAUGUAAUGGCUUACCAGUUAAUGCAUUGCAAACUCAUUUGCGAAUGCUUUUAAAUGGUAAAACUUUUUUGCUUGUUUUAGAUGAUGUAUGGAACAAAGAUCAUGUAAAAUGGAUGGAACUGAGAGAUUUACUAAUGACAAUGGGUAACUUUCAACAAAGUAAAAUUAUUAUGACUACACGAAGUUCAAAAGUUGCUUCGACAGUGGGUACUAUUGCUCCGUACAACUUGAAUGGUCUUAGCCACAAAGAUUGUCUGUCUUUGUAAAACGGGCAUUUCAGGAAGGGGAUGAGAAAGUUUAUCGAAACCUUAUGAGAAUUGGUGACGAAAUUGUGAAAAAAUUCAAAGGGGUUCCAUUGGCGGUGAGAACUUUAGGGAGCUUACUCUACAUGAAAACUGAGCUUCAUGAAUGGGAAUUUAUAAAAGAUAAUGACAUAUGGAAACUUAAUCAAAAUGAAAAUGACAUCCUACCUAUGCUGAAAUUGAGUUAUAGUCAUUUGCCAUCUCAUUUGCAAAGGUGUCUAACUUAUUUGUCAUUGUUUCCAAAGGACACUAUUUAUGAUACUGAUUACAUCGUCCAAUUCUGGAUGGCCAUUGGACUUAUUGAAGGCCCUAAGCAAAAUGAAGAGUGAGAAGAUGUUGGGUUACGAUAUUUCAAAGAAUUAUGGUUGAGGUUACACAUUUAAAAUCCAUGGCCUAAUGCAUGAUCUCUUGUCAAAUGAGUCUCAAGAUGACUGCUUAACAAUUUAUCCUCAUACAGUAAAUGCUACUGAAAAUACUCGACAUCUGUUAUUUUUGGAUGAUAAUCCAUUAGGAGCUCCACAAUCAUUUUCGAAGAAUUUAAAAGUUGUGCGGACAUUAGUAAUCCUACCUUCUUCAGGAAGAAAUAGGAUAAUUGAGGAACAUUUUGUAAAUGCUUCUAUCUUGAAUUUCGAGUUCCUUCGGCUACUUGAUCUCUCCUCUUCAUCUUUGGAUGUAUUGCCCAAUUCCGUUGGCACCUGGAAGCAUUUAAGAUAUCUUGACUUAUCCAGCUGUCGAAGAAUGAGGAAACUUCCUACUUCUAUCCGUAAACUUCAGAGCUUGCUGACUUUACGGUUAGCUGGCGUUCCACUGAUUGAAGUACCUGAAUGUUUGCAAAGCUUGAUUAAGUCUCAGAUUUCUAGAGAUAGCCACAGAUUCUGUGUUUUUAAGGGAUAUUCAACCAGGAUGUUAGAGUUCGCUUCAGUUGUUGCUCUUGUUCGACUGUGAUAUGAUAGAAUCUAUAUUUGAUGGGACGCAACACCUCACAUCACUUGGAAGAUUGGAUAUCCAAAGCUGCUCUAGAUUGAUUUCACUGCCAAGAAGUCUGAAAUUUCUAACCAAAUUAGAGGAAAUCAAUAUCAAUGGCUGUCAAAAAAUCAAUUUGUCAAUGGAACAAGGAGAAGAAGACCAAGACCUUCAAAACUUUAACAAUAUUGGAAGCAGAAGCGCUGAAGGAUUUGCCACGGUUGCUUCUUCAAGGAUCAGCUAGCCUUUUUAAAUCCAUGCUAAUAAGGAGAUGUCCCAACUUCAAGGUACCAUCAGAAUGGAUGCAAAAGCUCACAUCACUUAACAGGUUGGAGCUUGAAAGUUGUCCAGCAUUAUCCUCUGUUCCCGAAGGACUGAAUCGCCUCACUGCACUUAGACAAGUAAAGAUUCAAAUAUGUCCUGCGCUACGCCAAAAUUGACAACCUGGGGUUGGUGCUGAUUGGUCCAAGAUUGCACACGUUCAAGAGGUUCAUAUUGAAGAUUAGUAGAUCGUCAAGCCGCGCUCAAAGUGUUUACCAAUCUCUCAUUCUUUUUUCUUCCUUUAUGAGAUUUCUUUUUUCAUAUUAAAUUUUCCAGAAUACAGAAUUAUAAGAAAAUUGCUCUAAAUGAUAUGUGCUAGUCAAUUCAUCCAUCUUCCUGAAAUAUCUAACACUUGCAUUGAUUUUGAAAUGAUCAUAGGUAAAUUGGUCCGGAUACUUUGGUAAAAAAUAAAAGUGCAAGCAGGUGAGACGAUUUCAUCCAAUCUAUUUAGCUUGUUUGUUAUCAGCAACAUUUCAUGAGAAUCCUUCAAUUUUUGCUACACUUUUUCAUAUACUAUUACUUUUAUAGGAUCUGUCUGAUUGAGAUUUUUUGCUAAUUAUCUUUUUUUUUUAUGCAUAAAGGCAAAUAAAAAUAUAAUCAUCCGUUUUAAAAGGUUACAAUUAACUAUAGCUAGGUGAUAGAAAUAGUCAUAGCUUGUGGGCUUUCUAUAAGAUGAAUGUAAUUACAAUAUUGUCUUGUGUUUCUCUUUGUAGUUACUGUCAAAUUGAGAUACUUAGGUGCAUGUGUCACGGAUCUAAGGAAGAGUCUUGAAUCUCACAUCGAACAUAAUAGGAGGGUCACUGGGGUAUAAAAGGGUUCACACCAUUUUUGCCUUGUGAGGUGCCUUUUGUAAGACAAAACCGUGAGGCCAGGGGGCUAGAGCGAACAAUACCUCACAAAAAUAUGAACCGUGAUGGUCAGGCUGAUUCGGGACGCCGGAAGGGUGAAUGCUCGGGUUCCGAAACCGUGCGGGUUCGGAGCUUAAGUCUCGACCCGUGACAAGUGGUAUCAAAGCCAGCCCUAAAUCGUUCGAUCCACGCCAAGCACCUCGAGGGAGGUAGACAGGGUGGCCAGCCUCCGUGACAAGGGCAUCACGAGAUUGGGUGCGGGAGAAUGUUAAUAAGGAAGAGUCAUGAAUCACAUAUCGAACAUAAUAGGAGGGUCACUGAGGUAUAAAAGGGUUCACACCAUCUCCGCCUUAUGAGACGUCUUUUGUAGGACAAAACCGUGAGGUCAAGAGGGUCAGAGCCAUUUGGCUUCAAAUCAAACCACUGCGGGUAGCUCUUAUGGUGUGGGAAAAUUCAGCCAAACCCUGCAAGGCGCCGUUUGUUCAAAGCUUUUACUUUCUUUGACGAUCAUGUGUCUUGAACCAGACCUGUUUAUCUGUUUGCCUAAUACUUGCGCUUUAGCUAUUUGUUUGUGUUCUAUCUGUUUGUGAUUGGAUCCUUUGGAAUGAAACCAUCAUCUCAUAACUGUUGGGUGACUCCUUAGGGACAAAAGAACUCUUCUUGCUUGAAAAGGGAACAUCAAGCAUUCAACAUGAAGUGCCCAUUUCUUAUUCAACCCAAUAAGAUUUCGACCUCCGUCGUGUAGUGUAAGAGUUUAGACUAUCUUAUCCCAAUGAAAUUCACCCCAAGUCAUUCAAGACCUUGACCUGAUAUUUGAGUUUUUGGUUUAACAGUCCUGUCGUGUCAGCUGGAUGUUGAGCCUUUUGUUUGGGCGUUACCUUUUUCAGGGCCUAAGCCCCCUGAAACUAAAAGCUACAUUGCCCAUUUCCCUAUUGUAGACACCCAAUUGGGUCCGGGCCCAGAUCAAUUGGGCCUGGCCCAAAUGGGUAAGGCCCAUUUCAAUCCUGUAUAUUUUUUUCUUUUGUAUUUUAUGUAUUCUAUUAUUAUUAUUAUUAUGUAUAUCUUUAUUCAUUUAUUUAUUUUUAUUCAGAUUAGAUUUAUAUGUAUAUUAUUUAUAUAGUUAUAUAUUUAUUAUUAUUAUUAUUAUUAUUAUUUUUGUAAGAUAUUUUUGGAUUUAUCUUAUUUUAUUAUUAUUUUUUUUAAAUUAUCUGUUCUGAUUUUUUCCUGAUUAUCAGAUAUUUUUUUACUAUAAUAUCUUUUUAUUUAUCUGUUCUAAUUAUCUAUUAUUUUUUAUAUUUAUUUGAUUUUUUUUUUUUUUGGAAGGUUGAGAUUGAAGCUGAAGAAUCCUACUGGGAGUGGGGAUUCAAUCUAAAGAGUCCAAUUGGAUUCAAAGACUGAAUCCCCGUCCAAGGAGGAGUUGGGAUUGAUCAGAAACUCCUGAUCAACCCCUAUAUAAAGGACCCUUUGGAACAGUUCAAGAACACACAGAAAACAGUAAGCAAAGCUACUGAUUUGAGAGAAAAGGAGGCGUAUAGGAAGCUAGGAAAAGUUUAGGAGUGGUCUAGGAGUGAGAAAAAAUUUCUAGAAAUUUUUGGCGAAAAAAUUUUCUGGAAAUUUCUGGGAAAUUUCCAGAUUCCGGCAAAAAUUCUGGCGAAGUUUGAAUUUUCCGGCGAUAGUUCCGGCCAAACUUGAAGUUUUCGGCAACCAGCCCAGUUUCCGGCGAAGAAUCCCAGAAACCGGCGAUCUUUCGGCAACUUCCGGCGAACUUCCGGCGAAAUUUUCCAGAUUCCGGCGAGAAUUUCCAGAAUCCGGCGAAAUCCCACCGGUGUUCUUCAGUCUUUAGAGAGAAGGCAGAGGAAAGAAGGAAGAAGAGAGAGAGAGAGGAGGGGCGGUCUGCCGAAAAACAGAGGGUAGUGCCUUUUAUACCCUCCCAAAACGACGUCGUUUUGGCUUUAAGUUAAUCAGAGGAUCCGCGCGUUUUGCCGAAAACCCGACCAGACCCGGGCGUCGACCCGCUUUCUGACCCGCGCGUUUCAGCCCCUCCGAGCCGAGCCGAGCCGAGCCGAGCCGCACCAAGCCGAGCCGCGAUCCGAGCCGCUCCAGGUUUUUUUUUUUUUUUUUUUUUUGAAUUUUUUUGAAUUUUUUUUAUUUGACUUUGAUUUUGAUCUUGAUUUUUUUUUCUUUUUUCUUUAAUUAAUCCGACGACGGAGCCUCUACAAGUAAAAACAGUAGUUUUUCUUGCAUACUCCUGAGGUGAGGGAAUUUUCUCAAUUUUCUGCUAAAAGUAUUAGAGUCAAUUGAGAAUAAUUUCCGAUAAUUAAUUACUUGGCUGAUUUUGAUUUUUUUUUUCUUUAAUUAAUCCGACGACGGAGCCUCUGCAAGUGAAACAGUAGUUUUUCUUGCAUACUCCUGAGGUGAGGGAAUUUUCUCAAUUUUCUGCUAAAAGUAUUAGAGUCAAUUGAGAAUAAUUUUCGAUAAUUAAUUAAUUGGUUGAUCUUGAUUUUUCUUUAAAUAAUCCGACGACGGAGCCUCUGCAAGUGAAACAGUAGUUUUUCUUGCAUACUCUUGAGGUGAGGGAAUUUUCUCAAUUUUUUGCUAAAAGUAUUAGAGUCAAUUGAGAAUAAUUUUCAACAACUAACUACUUGGUAAAAUUUUAAGGCUUUUGGAUAACACAAAUUUAAGCUGGUACCAUCUUUUGAUGGGCGUUGUGAGGGUGCUACAACCUUCCUCACACGUAACCGAACUCCCGAACCCUGUUCUGGUUAGUAGACCUGAACCUAUUCUUUUAGGGACUCUUAAACUGAGGCGUUCCCUAAAAGGACAGAUUCCUUAGGUGGCCAAUCGCACCUAGAUAAAAAAGAUUGGUGGCGACUCCCAAAAGUCAAUGUCUAGCGAUAGAUCCCCGGAUCUAGACGUUACGACAGCUUGGCGACUCCACUGGGGACCUUGAGAGUCAGGCCAGCAAAUAAUUUGUGUUAUCCAAAAGCCUAAUAAAAUUGAACCAUUUUUGUAUAUAUGUGUUAUUCAUUCAUGUAUUUACCUUGUUAAUUAUGUCAUUCAUGUGCAUGUGCAUAACAUGAGCUCUACACCCGAGCUCUGUCCCUCUAGGAGGGAGUAAAGUACCUAUUGCUUUCGUGAGGUCUAAUGCCUCCGCAGUGGCUAGCGAAAUACUCCCACUCAAAUUGAACCUUUUCCGCUUGUAGCCUGUAAUGGGUGAGGAUUAGGGUGCCUUACUAGUCUGUGAUGGACAAGGAUGUAAGGAACAAUUUGAGGACCUUUAGACUCUGACUUUAAAACCACAUGUAGUGAACCUUAAGAGUGCCUAACCCUAGGAUAGAGUCCUUUCUACCCAAUGAUAGAUAUACCCUGAAAUUAGGACACAAAAAAGGUGUUUAUCUAAUCAUUUUGAUUGCUUAACUUUGUGUAUUAUUUUUUGUAAUGUUAUGCAUCAGCAUUACUUUCAUUUCAUUCAUGAAACUAACUAUGUUGUUUGUCUGAUUGUAUGCAUCUGUAUUCUUUUCAUGAUCAUGUUUCAACACAAUCAUUUGCAUUCAUUUCAUGCUAGAUUUCAUUCAAAAAAUGUACAUUUCAUUUGUGUAUCAAAGCAUCAUACAUAAGGCACAGCAUAACAUUUCUAAUCAUGAGUAUGGUACUCAAGGUCCGAGGAUAGCUCCAUCUAGCGAAAACCUUGCUCAUCCAUACAACACAAGAUCCAGAGCAAGGCAAAUGGAGGAGGAAAGUUCUCAUAGAUUUGAAAAGCUAGAAAAAGCUCAGGAGAAGAUUGAAAGUGAACUAAGCAAGAUUCUGGAAGCUCUAAAUAACAUGAAUAAGGGGAAAGGAGUUGAAGGAAGUACAAGCCAGCAAGAAGUGGCUGACCCUUUGUACCCUCCAGGUUUUGGCCCAUCUCAGGUCCAGCCUGCUCAAGAGGUCCCGCCAUAUCCUGGAAUACCAUCAGCUUUCAACCCAGGGCAGUAUAAUAGCUAUAUAAAUCCUGUCUUCACUGAAAAAGUAGCAGAACCAAUUCCUGACCUAGAUGCCUUAAAGGAGAAGGAAAAAGAAAAGAUGAAAGUGGAAGCUGAGGAGAGUUCCAAGAUUAGCAUGCUAGAGCAGAGGCUACGGGCUGUGGAAGGAUUUAGCUUUUAUGGGUCAGUAGAUGCUGCUGGGCUCUGCCUAGUCCCUGAUGUGGUUAUUCCCUAUAAGUUCAAAGUACCAAAAUUUGAAAAAUAUGACGGUACCAAGUGCCCCAAAACCCACAUCACCAUGUAUUGCAGGAAGAUGGCAGCUCAUGCUCAUGAUGAAAAACUUCUGAUGCAUGUUUUCCAGGACAGUCUUACUGGCUCUGCCGCCAGAUGGUAUGUUCAGUUGGAUAGGACUCGUAUUCGCUCUUGGAGUGAUAUGGCACACGACUUCAUCAGUCAAUAUCGACACAUUAUCGAUUUGGCCCCUGAUCGUUUAUCUUUGCAAAAUUUGGAGAAAAAGUCAAAUGAGUCUUUUAAAGAAUACGUCCAGAGAUGGAGGGAUAUUGCUUCACAGGUACAACCUCCACUGACAGAGAAAGAGACCACAGUGCUGUUUGUUAGCACUUUAAAGCCUCCCUAUUAUGAAAAGAUGAUAGGAAAUGCAACAAAGAAUUUUGCUGACAUGGUGAUCUCUGGAGAAAUUAUUGAAAGUGCCAUAAAAAAUGGCAAGUUGAAAGGAGGAGAAACCAAGAAGACAUCAGAAAAGAAAGAAGCUGAAGCUCAAGCUGUGAGCUUUGAUAGACAACAAUUCAGGGGUUAUCAACCCUAUCCAUCCCAAGGCUACUCUCCAUACUAUCCCGCUGUGAAUAAUGCCUCAUCCUACCCAUACCAGUUAGCUUCACAACCAUCUCAUUCAUCCACUUACCGCCUUAACAUUCAAGCUCCUGUAAGAACUCAAGUUCGCCCUACUAACCCAGCAAGUGGCUCGCGAGAACAACGGACUGCUCGAGAAAAACCUGUAUUUGAUCCAAUCCCUAUGACUUAUACAGAGUUAUAUCGAGAGCUUUAUAAUAGCCACUUGAUUGCCCCCAGCCAUGUGGAACCUCUUAAACCACCCUACCCAAAGUGGUAUGAUCCUACAGCCCACUGCGACUAUCACUAUGGAAUUACUGGCCAUUCUACUGAAAAUUGCACUGCUUUAAAGUAUAAGGUGCAACGGUUGAUCAAUGAUGGAAUGGUAAGUUUUGAUCAAGGAAAAGCAACAACAUUCAAUGUUAACACCCUAAGUGAAAGUCAAGAACAGAAAGGAUCUGGAGAGUCACAAUGAAUUGAGGGGCAAGACGUCAAUGGGGAUUUCUUCACCUGAUCAUAUAGGGGGCUAAUUUUUAAUGGAGAUAAGGCGGGUUGAAAGUUUUUUUGUCACUUUAAGAUUUCUUUUCAAGUAAUGUUGGAUUUCUUUUUGCAAUAUGACUUUACUUGUUAUCAUUUUAAUAAAGGCAAGUCAAUGCAUUUCAUUACAUUUUUCUCUUUCAUUUGACCAUUAUUCCAUACCCUGCUACCCUUCAUAACUUCACAUUCCCAUUCUUAAAUUUCAGAUGAUGAAUAUUUAGACAAUGAUAACAAUAAUUCUGGGAUUUAAUUUUGAGAACUCAUCCACAUUAAUAUGAGAAGAUGAUUUGAACAGAAGUAAGCUAUUACUGGAGGAGAAACAGAUAUGUCUUGAAGAUGUGUAAUCUUUUAUACAGAUUCAUGAGCUUUGUUUAAUAGAUGAUGUUCAAGAAAGGUAUUCACAAUUGAGAUGAAAAAUGGCCACCUUUCUUUUACCAUUGGAAAAACCAUUUAUUGCUACCCCUUUGAGCCAAUCAUGAUUUUUUUUCUUGAAGAACCCCAACCAAGGAUCACCCUCUACACUGGAGGGUAAUUUUUGAAAAAAAAAAAAAAAAAAAAAGAGAAAAAAAAAAAAAAACACCACAAAAGGUCUCAAAAAUGAAAAAAAAAAGAGAAAAAACAAAUGCCACACAUGACUUGGGGCAAAGUAAUGAGAAUCCUUUGUGUGAUGAAAGAAAAAAGUAGUGAAAUGAUGUGGGGGCAAAAUGCCAGGCUGCAUCAAAUGAUCCUUUGGUUUUGAACCUUUUUAAUACAUGUUUUGAGCCUAUUAUAUCCAUUUCUUUUAUGACCCUUCCCCUUGGCCUACGUUACAACCUUGAAAAGUCCAUUUGGAUCAAGUGUGAAUACUCAACUUGAAUGAUCAUAUGUUGAGCGAAGGUAUGCUCAUGAGGAAGCAAUGAAAUCAUGGUCUAAAGUUGGACGUAUGAAAGAUAUCAACAAUGGAUGAAAAAAAAAUGAUGAAAAAAAAAAGAAAAAAAAAGGAAAAAAAAAGAAAAAAUGAAAAAAAAAAGAAGGAAAAAAAGAGAAAAUAAAAAAAAGAGAUUCAAAUUGAAAACCUGAAAGGGUGAUUUUAGUAAAAAAAAAAUCAAGUCAAAUGGCUCACAUGAAUGAAAGAUCAAAGACAUCUGAAGAUCCCUCAAAGACUGGGGCAGAGUUCGCCAAGCUCAAGAUGACUUCAACAGUAAAUGGAAUGAGUUUUUGAAAAAGAAUCCUAGAUUAAUGUUGAAAAUUGUCUGAAUAUUCAUCAUUUGGACAUACCAUUCACCUCAAUGACAUCCAAUUUAUUUCAUUUCCCAUUUAUUUUUUACCAAAAUAGAUCUCCAUUGAUUAUCUUUACCAUAAUUCACCUUCUGUUCUCUUAUUGUUUCACCCCUAGAAUGAAUUGAGAAAAUGCUUGAUUGCAUUGUAUUUGUCAGGAUUUGAAAUGAUAAUGAAUGAAUGAAUAUGUGCUUAAAAGAGUCUUGCAUUUAUUUGAAAAGAAAUCUAAGAUGAUGAAGAAAUGGUAGAAACCUAAUAGAGAAUAUGAUGGGGCAAAUCUUGAAAAGUGAUGAAUUGAUUGAUAUGACUUGCAAGAUAUGAUUGAAUGAUGAAGACAAUCAGUAGACAAAGUCUGUUUUGGAAUUGUUGAGGCUGAGACAAGGACCCAGUGAUGAUGGAUGAAAUUUGUUUUGAAAUUUGCUAGUGCUGAAAAAUUCAUUGAAUGAUGGUCAAGUGAUGAUCGAUUGAUGAAGCUUAUUCCAAAGUAUUGAAAAACAGAACAAGAAAGAAUGUGAGUGGAAGAGACAAUUGAGAGCUACACUGGUUCGAUCUUAGAAGAGCAGUGCAAUUGGAUCCUUGAGGAAUCAAAGGGCUUGACACCCAAAAAAAAAAAAAGCUUGAGAAACUUGAGUACCAUACAUUGAACAGGAAUUAAUUGGCCAACAUUUGCAUGGCAUGCAUUGAAAUUCAUAUGCAUUGCACAGCAUACACUACUUUCAGGAGAAUAUAGUGUACAAAUUCAAGAAGCAAGGGUGUUCCAACAUCCCACAUGAAAAAGACAGAUAUGAAAAGACUUUGCAAGUUUGAGAAGAAACUUGUCAGGUAAGUUCCUAAUCCUUGAAAUAGGAUGUCUUUUGGUAUCAGGGUUGAUUAUAAAGACCUUUGGGCAUAAUCUCCUGAAAUCCCUUCAAACACAGCUUUCAACUCCUUUGGACAUGAUUGUCAAGGAGCCUAUUAAUUUCCAAAGUUCCGUUGCCUCUGUUUAGAGGAGCAAUUUAUCUUUUCCAAAGUCGUGGUUGCCUCUGUUGAGAGGAGCAAUUUACUUUUCAAAGUCGUGGUGCCUCUGUUGAGAGGAGCAAUUUAUUUUUUUCAAAGUCGUGGUGCCUCUGUUGAGAGGAGCAAUUUACUUUUCAAAGUCGUGGUGCCUCUGUUGAGAGGAGCAAUUUAUUUUUUCAAAGUCGUGGUGCCUCUGUUGAGAGGAGCAAUUUACUUUCCAAAGUCGUGGUGCCUCUGUUGAGAGGAGCAAUUUACUUUUCAAAGUCGUGGGUGCCUCUGUUGAGAGGAGCAAUUUAAUUUCCAAAGUUCCGUUUGCCUCUGUUUAGAGGAGCAAUUUACUUUUCAAAGUCGUGGUGCCUCUGUUGAGAGGAGCAAUUUUAAUUUCCAAAGUUUCGUUGCCUCUGUUUAGAGGAGCAAUUUAUUUUUCCAAAGUCGUGGUACCUCUGUUGAGAGGAGCAAUUUACUUUUCAAAGUCGUGGUGCCUCUGUUGAAGAGGAGCAAUUUACUUCCAAAGUCGUGGGUGCCUCUGUUGAGAGGAGCAAUUUACUUUUCAAAGUCGUUGGUACCUCUGUUGAGAGGAGCAAUUUACUUUCAAAAGUCGUUGAGUCUCUGUUUAGAGGAGCUUCGGCAAAAAAAAAAAAAAAACAAAAAAAAACAAAAAAAACAAAAAAAAACAAAAAAAAAAACAAAAAAAAAAAUAAAAAAAUCAGAAAAAAUCAAAAAAUAACAAAACAAAAAUAAAAAAAAUCAAAAAUAAAAUGUUUGAGUUGAGUCUGGACUUGGGUGUCUACGUCUUUGCGCAAUUUCUGUUUCACAGAAAAUGUGCAAAGAGGGGCAGCGUAGACACACCAAUUGGGUCCGGGCCCAGAUCAAUUGGGCCUGGCCCAAAUGGGUUAAGGCCCCAUUUCAAUCCUGUAUAUUUUUUUCUUUUGUAUUUUAUGUAUUCAUUAUUAUUAUUAUUAUGCUAUAUCUUAUUCAUUUAUUUAUUUUUAUUCAGAUUAGAUUUAUAUGUAUAUUAUUAAUAUAGUUAUAUAUUUAUUAUUAUUAUUAUUAUUAUUANNNNNNNNNNNNNNNNNNNNNNNNNNNNNNNNNNNNNNNNNNNNNNNNNNNNNNNNNNNNNNNNNNNNNNNNNNNNNNNNNNNNNNNNNNNNNNNNNNNNNNNNNNNNNNNNNNNNNNNNNNNNNNNNNNNNNNNNNNNNNNNNNNNNNNNNNNNNNNNNNNNNNNNNNNNNNNNNNNNNNNNNNNNNNNNNNNNNNNNNNNNNNNNNNNNNNNNNNNNNNNNNNNNNNNNNNNNNNNNNNNNNNNNNNNNNNNNNNNNNNNNNNNNNNNNNNNNNNNNNNNNNNNNNNNNNNNNNNNNNNNNNNNNNNNNNNNNNNNNNNNNNNNNNNNNNNNNNNNNNNNNNNNNNNNNNNNNNNNNNNNNNNNNNNNNNNNNNNNNNNNNNNNNNNNNNNNNNNNNNNNNNNNNNNNNNNNNNNNNNNNNNNNNNNNNNNNNNNNNNNNNNNNNNNNNNNNNNNNNNNNNNNNNNNNNNNNNNNNNNNNNNNNNNNNNNNNNNNNNNNNNNNNNNNNNNNNNNNNNNNNNNNNNNNNNNNNNNNNNNNNNNNNNNNNNNNNNNNNNNNNNNNNNNNNNNNNNNNNNNNNNNNNNNNNNNNNNNNNNNNNNNNNNNNNNNNNNNNNNNNNNNNNNNNNNNNNNNNNNNNNNNNNNNNNNNNNNNNNNNNNNNNNNNNNNNNNNNNNNNNNNNNNNNNNNNNNNNNNNNNNNNNNNNNNNNNNNNNNNNNNNNNNNNNNNNNNNNNNNNNNNNNNNNNNNNNNNNNNNNNNNNNNNNNNNNNNNNNNNNNNNNNNNNNNNNNNNNNNNNNNNNNNNNNNNNNNNNNNNNNNNNNNNNNNNNNNNNNNNNNNNNNNNNNNNNNNNNNNNNNNNNNNNNNNNNNNNNNNNNNNNNNNNNNNNNNNNNNNNNNNNNNNNNNNNNNNNNNNNNNNNNNNNNNNNNNNNNNNNNNNNNNNNNNNNNNNNNNNNNNNNNNNNNNNNNNNNNNNNNNNNNNNNNNNNNNNNNNNNNUGUUUAAAGUCUGCUGCCUGACCAACAGUGCUCUCCUGCAAUGCGUUCAUUAUCUCCCCGUCUGAUGCAAAAGUAUGGGUCUUAUUGGUCGAACUUGCCUUUUGGAGAAUACCUGCCGAAACAUCUCUGCUUGCCAUCCUUUGCAAAUUUGGCUCAUAUCACAAAGAUAUUAGGCACGUGUAAACUUGGUUCCUCAGUUAGCGAGAUGUUAAAUCAGGAGGCAACCCUUUCUUAUCGUAGCUUUGCUUUGAUUCCCAAAAUCCUGCUUCUGGAGCAGCUUUCUCAUCAACACAAUGGAAUCUUGCUAAAUACUUAUCGGCACUCUUGAGUUGCAGAUCUGGAGGAAUCUGCUGUGGGCCAGCCUGCUUUCACCACAAAGCCAUCCUUCUUCAAAAGCUCUCUCCAAACAAACUCCGCAUAGUGGGCAGAUUGAGUGAUAAGGCCUUAGUCUGCACAUCCAUAAACCGCCAUACAAGGUCAGGUUAUGCCCCCACUGCCACAAGAGAACUAUACUCAUGCCGCAGCACUUGAAGAUCAAUAAACCAUCUGAGGUCCGAGAACAAUGUAAUCCCUAUACAUUCCUGCAUCACUCAUUUGCAGCAAGUUUCUCAUUCUUCAAACACCCGAUCAGCAAGGUAGAUGGGGCACCUGUCCCCAAAGACAUUCUGCAGCCAGUAAUUCUCUUUCCCAUCCAUGCAUUCUCUUUGUAAGCCUAAGAUUGCAGGCAUGGCAGUCUCAACACAAAGUUUUGCAUCAUCUACACCAUCCCCAGCAUCAGCCAGAGAGAAUCUUGUAGCAUCAGCAGAGAAUUCCUCAAUUGCCUGAUGCAGUGUCCUGAAAUUUCCAGUAGACUUGCGACAUCUUCUCUGAAUUAAGCAUAAUAUGUCCAUUGCACCUGAAUCCACAAGGCCAGUGAUCCUUGGACAUGAUUGCUGGUGAUUGUAGAUGCAAAAUGUUAAAUGGUUCUGGAUAAGGUCUUUUCCAGAAACCCUAAGAUCAAAUGGAUACCAGUACUCAAACUCCUGCUUCAUCUUGUUAAGAACAGAGGAUGGGAUAUCAGAAGAUUUGGGAUACUGACCACCACAGAAGAGAAAUUCCCAGACCUCAUCAGUCAUCUGGGCAGGUUUAACCAGAUCAGCACUUUUUCCGUACAUGUCCCCAUUUUGUAAAAGAUGAGCAACUGUGUAAUAAGCCAUGUAAAUGGUUGAGUCGGAUAAUGACUCAACAAGGAAUUCUGCAUCCCAAGGAAUGCGAGUCCCAAGCCCAAAGGAUCGUGAGCAAGCCCAUUGGUUCAACCAUCCUAAAGUAUGUUCAAAGCCAUGUCGUGUCUCAUCAGAGUAUAGAUUCAUGUUGGAUAAGCACUCCUCAGCUAGUUGUUUCCAUUCCGGUUCACCAUAUGUGAUGUACCAUUGAUCUGUAAGAGCCACAACACACUCAUCACCAGACCUUGACAUAACCUUCUUCUCAGGCUCACUAUAAAUUAUUGCCUGGCCCGUCUCAAUCAGUUUGGUCCUUAUCAGUGCCUUAGCUUCAUGGACUCUUCUUCCUGCAUACUCUCCAACAGUCAUGGUUCCCUCUGUAAAACCUCUCAAGUACACCAACCUCUUCGCCUCAGCAAGCUUUUCUUUCUCAUUCUGACUUUUGAUUUUCAGAUCCACACAAACUUUUUCAGCUGCCCUGUCUCCAAAUUCUGGAAUGUCAAUGAUGGGUAUAAUCUCAAAUGGCAAUACCCAUUCAUCCUUCACCCCAAACUUUUCCCGAAAAGCGGGUUUUGCUUUCAAAUCAUGUAAGGCCAUAUAAUCAUCAGGAGCAUCGCUGGGAACACUGGUCACGAUCCCUGUACCUUUGUCCGUUAGAAUUGUCAUCAUUGGAAGAGCAUAUAUGAUCUCAUUAAAUGAGAGAGGAGAUUUUACAGGAAGACCAAUCAGAUCAUAACCAGUCAGUUCAACCAAGCAAGUAGGUUUUUCAGGGACGCGGGAGAGCUUCUGAUAAGCAAGGUUGAGUGCUGCUCUCUCAGUCAGAAUAAAUAUCUCAGUUUCAUUGAUUUCAAAGGCUCCGUAUUUCCCAUUAGGCAAAACCCAGCAGUUUGUUUGCCCAUACAUGGUCUCAGGCCUCAAUG